GAGGGUAUAGCUCAGUGGUAGAGUGUGUGCUUAGCAUGCACAAGGUCCUGGGUUCAAUUCCCAGUACCUCCC
rnacentral:tRNA from 1 species